rnacentral:rRNA from 1 species
GACGAACGCUGGCGGCGUGCUUAACACAUGCAAGUCGAACGGAAAGGCCCUGCUUUUGUGGGGUGCUCGAGUGGCGAACGGGUGAGUAACACGUGAGUAACCUGCCCUUGACUUUGGGAUAACUUCAGGAAACUGGGGCUAAUACCGGAUAGGAGCUCCUGCCGCAUGGUGGGGGUUGGAAAGUUUCGGCGGUUGGGGAUGGACUCGCGGCUUAUCAGCUUGUUGGUGGGGUAGUUGCUUACCAAGGCUUUGACGGGUAGCCGGCCUGAGAGGGUGACCGGCCACAUUGGGACUGAGAUACGGCCCAGACUCCUACGGGAGGCAGCAGUGGGGAAUUUUGCACAAUGGGCGGAAGCCUGAUGCAGCAACGCCGCGUGCGGGAUGACGGCCUUCGGGUUGUAAACCGCUUUCGCCUGUGACGAAGCGUGAGUGACGGUAAUGUGUAAAGAAGCACCGGCUAACUACGUG